CUACUAGGGUUUCUAAUCCUGUUUGCUCCCCACGCUUUCGCACCUGAGCGUCAGUAUUGUGCCAGGGGGCCGCCUUCGCCACUGGUAUUCCUCCAAAUCUCUACGCAUUUCACCGCUACACUUGGAAUUCUACCCCCCUCUCACAUACUCUAGCUUCCCAGUAUCAGAUGCAAUUCCCAGGUUGAGCCCGGGGCUUUCACAUCCGACUUAAAAAGCCGCCUGCGUGCGCUUUACGCCCAGUAAUUCCGAUUAACGCUUGCACCCUCCGUAUUACCGCGGCUGCUGGCAC
rnacentral:rRNA from 1 species